rnacentral:rRNA from 1 species
AUUGAACGCUGGCGGAAUGCUUUACACAUGCAAGUCGAGCGGCAGCGCGGGGGCAACCCUGGCGGCGAGCGGCGAACGGGUGAGUAACAUAUCGGAACGUACCCCGUCGUGGGGGAUAACACAGCGAAAGCUGUGCUAAUACCGCAUACGACCUGAGGGUGAAAGCGGGGGAUCGCAAGACCUUAUGCUUUUGGAGCGGCCGAUGUCUGAUUAGCUAGUUGGUAGGGUAAUGGCUUACCAAGGCGACGAUCAGUAGUUGGUCUGAGAGGACGGCCAGCCACACUGGGACUGAGACACGGCCCAGACUCCUACGGGAGGCAGCAGUGGGGAAUUUUGGGACAAUGGGCGCAAGCCUGAUCCAGCAAUGCCGCGUGAGUG